CGAUGUUCAGUAGAGGGCGGUAACAACAAAAAUUUUCAAUCGAAUUUGAAACAUUUUAUAGAGAUUUUUUCGUACAACUUUGUUUCUCGUUUACUUGUUCAUUCUAUUAAGAAAUAGUAGAAUACAUGGCAUAGGUACCUCUAUAGUACGUAUAUAGUACAUAGAUGGAAACUCAACAACGGAAAGGCACAAGUAUAGAACAAAUGAAUCUGUUCCAAGUACCUAUAAAGUUAUAAAAACAGUGCAAUGUGUAUGUAAGCACUGCUCGAAUACACGUGUACGCGAGUGUGCGUCUGAAAUCCUGAAAACGCGGUAAUGAAAUGAUCGAUCAAUUGAAAGGAACAAAAGAAAGUUGUAAAUCGAAGUAAGAGAUCGAAAGAAAAAAGGGAAAGGAAGAUGCAUAACGCCAAUAGACUGCUUAUAAAGUCGAAACAGGGUAACUCGUUUGGUGAAUGACGGUGAAGGAAAACGGUAUUAAGAACCGAAGUUGAUCGAACGAUCAUAAGCGGAAACACCCGAAGUGGACACAGUGAGAAACAUCACGUAGCCGGUGUUGCUAGGCGGUUUGUCGGAGUCCGAUGGAAGGGAAAAAUUAAGAGAGAGGGGAUAGCCGGUAUAAAAGUCGCGUCAUCGAUGCCGGCGAAUCAGUUGUCGAACCAAAGGAAGGGGCUCGUUCGUUUUUCACUUGUUUCGUAGGGACGUCGAUUUCAGUGAAAGUUUAAAACCAAAAAACAACGCUGAUUCCUCGCAUUCGGAUAUCCGACAGACCGCGGCUUUUCUUCCCGUUGGAUUCGUGACAAUUGUCGGGAACUCGCGGACACAGACCGAACUCGUGAAUUCGUUGACAUCGAAGAAACUCUCGUAUUCUCUGUGUCUUGCGACCAUCCAGAAAGAUCGUACCGACAUUCAUCGUGUCUGUACAACAUCUUUGGAUCAUGGAGGUUUUACCAUGCCCCGUCAAAGUGAAUUUCAGCAACACCAGAGCUGAAACUGUGACCGACGAAUUGGAUGGAGCUUGCCAGGCACUGGCGAAACGACUCGAAGUCGAGUUGAGAAGAGCAAAACACGCUCAAUUGGUGUGCGGGGAAGUACUAUUGCCUGCCGAUCUCCUAUCUAGAAUAGCCAGAGAAGUUCUAAGUAUGGCAGAAAACGAACCUUGCGGUCUCAGGGGUUGUACUCUAUUUAUCAACUUUGAAACGGACAAUAUGUGUCGAAAAUUAUCAAGAAUACAAUGCGACCCUAACGCGGUGUCUACCUUUGAACUGUAUCUGACCUUGAAACAAGAUCACACGUCUUGGCACAUCCUGUUACCUCAGUUUUUAAAGUGAGUAACGAUAUUAUGAAAGAACAACGAGGAUAGAGAGAGAGAGAGCAAGGAGCAACAAAACAAAUAAGAAUCUUACCAGGGGCGGUACCGUCAUGAUCAGUAGGGAUUUUACUUUGGAAAAGAAAAAAUUAUACAGAUCGUAUCAGCAAGUGCAGUGAACAUUUCGCUUACAUGUAAAUCCGCGUCGUUGAAUUUUUUAUGUAGAAUGGGUACGACCAUUUUAAGUGAUCGAUUCGAUGUUUAUGGGUAUUGUAUAUCGAGUGGACGCUCGGUUUAGAAUGACCUAACAAACGUUGUGAUUACGAAGAAACGUUUAAUGUAAAAGUCAGAAAGGGAUGAAGAAAGGGAGAAAGCGUGCAUCUGAAUCUGUGAAAGAAUAAGAGAAUAUGAGAAUGAAAGAGAGAGAGAGAGAGAGAGAGAGAGAGAGAGAGAGAGAGAGAGAGAGAGAGAGAGAGAGAGAGAGAGAGAGACUCGUGACCAGGAACUAAACCAGAAAUUUCAACCUAGAACGGGAUACGAUGAAUGCGCAUCGAUUUCGUACGUAUCUGUAAAGUCCCGGAACCUUAAAAAACAAUGUACGCUUUCCUCACUGUAAGAUGCGUCGAAGAUAUUCGUGCAAUUUGGCUGUGGUUUUAUCCGUUAAUGUCGUAAUCGGUUCAACGAGACUUGAUCUACGCAAUGAGCUAUUGUGAUAGUAACACGAAAUAUAAAUUUUAAUACUGUUCGAGGCGACGAAAAUCGUUUCUAUACGCGAUUCUUUCUGUUUGCGAGAAUUUUCUUACCGACACGUGUAAUGACACUUUCAAAUAUGGACAACACUGGUCACUUGAGCAAUUCGUUGUUGAUAAUUAUUUGAAAGCAAUCGUUGAAUCAUUUAUUUGUUGGAGCAGAACAGAACGGAACAGAACGGAAGAUUAGAAAUGUUUGGAAUCGCGUACACAAACGCGUUGACCCGAUACGCAAGAGGAAACGUGUAUUGCUCGAUUGUUUCGUUCAACGAAGAGGCCACGCGCAACCGAAAUUGAUUUGCAUUUGACUUUACAUUCGCUCAAUGUAAAUUGGUACGAUACGUUUCCAUGGCUGUACUUCUCACGUUGCGAUAUGUUUUCUCCAUGAAAAAAUGCUUUCUAUGAAAGAACUUCUGAACGCACUUUCUUCUCUAAUGCGGAUGUUUCCAAGACGGAACUGGGUACAGCUUUGAGCAAAAGCAUUCCUUUUGAAAACAGAAA